rnacentral:rRNA from 1 species
AUUGAACGCUGGCGGCAUGCUUUACACAUGCAAGUCGAACGGCAGCACGGGAGCAAUCCUGGUGGCGAGUGGCGAACGGGUGAGUAAUACAUCGGAACGUGCCCAAUCGUGGGGGAUAACGCAGCGAAAGCUGUGCUAAUACCGCAUACGAUCUACGGAUGAAAGCAGGGGAUCGCAAGACCUUGCGCGAAUGGAGCGGCCGAUGGCAGAUUAGGUAGUUGGUGAGGUAAAGGCUCACCAAGCCGUCGAUCUGUAGCUGGUCUGAGAGGACGACCAGCCACACUGGGACUGAGACACGGCCCAGACUCCUACGGGAGGCAGCAGUGGGGAAUUUUGGACAAUGGGCGAAAGCCUGAUCCAGCCAUGCCGCGUGCAGGAUGAAGGCCUUCGGGUUGUAAACUGCUUUUGUACGGAACGAAACGGCCUUUUCUAAUAAAGAGGGCUAAUGACGGUACCGUAAGAAUAAGCACCGGCUAACUACGUGCCAGCAGCCGCGGUAAUACGUAGGGUGCAAGCGUUAAUCGGAAUUACUGGGCGUAAAGCGUGCGCAGGCGGUUAUGUAAGACAGUUGUGAAAUCCCCGGGCUCAACCUGGGAACUGCAUCUGUGACUGCAUAGCUAGAGUACGGUAGAGGGGGAUGGAAUUCCGCGUGUAGCAGUGAAAUGCGUAGAUAUGCGGAGGAACACCGAUGGCGAAGGCAAUCCCCUGGACCUGUACUGACGCUCAUGCACGAAAGCGUGGGGAGCAAACAGG